GAUGAACGCUAGCGGCAGGCCUAACACAUGCAAGUCGAGGGGUAACUAGAGUGAUAGCAAUAUUACUUUGGCUAGACCGGCGCACGGGUGCGUAACACGUAUGCAACCUACCUUAUACUGGGGAAUAACUUCGAGAAAUCGGCGCUAAUACCCCAUAACAUUGCGAAGAGGCAUCUAUUUGCAUUUAAAGCUCCGGCGGUAUAAGAUGGGCAUGCGUCCAAUUAGCUAAUUGGUGAGGUAACGGCUCACCAAGGCUACGAUUGGUAGGGGUUCUGAGAGGAUGAUCCCCCACACUGGUACUGAGACACGGACCAGACUCCUACGGGAGGCAGCAGUGAGGAAUAUUGCGCAAUGGACGAAAGUCUGACGCAGCCAUGCCGCGUGCAGGAUGACGGCCCUAUGGGUUGUAAACUGCUUUUGUACGGGAAUAAACCCUUCUACGUGUAGGAGGCUGAAGGUACCGUAAGAAUAAGCACCGGCUAACUCCGUGCCAGCCGCCGCAGUAACAC
rnacentral:rRNA from 1 species